rnacentral:rRNA from 1 species
UACGGAGGAUGCAAGCGUUAUCCUGAUUUAUUGGGUUUAAAGGGUGCGCAGGUUGUUUGAUAAGUCAGUGGUGAAAGUCUGUCGCUUAACGGUAGGAUUGCCAUUGAUACUGUUGGACUUGAAUAUGGAUGAGGUAGGCGGAAUGUGUAGUGUAGCGGUGAAAUGCAUAGAUAUUACACAGAACACCGAUUGCGAAGGCAGCUUACUAAUCCAUCAUUGACGCUGAGGCACGAAAGCGUGGGGAUCAAA